rnacentral:rRNA from 1 species
GAUGAACGCUGGCGGCGCGCCUAACACAUGCAAGUCGAACGAUUAAAGCACCUUCGGGUGUGUAUAAAGUGGCGAACGGCUGAGUAACACGUGGGCAACCUGCCCCUUUCAUUGGGAUAGCCACGGGAAACCGUGGAUAAUACCGAAUACUUCGAGACUUCCGCAUGGAAGACCCGAGAAAGCUCCGGCGGAGAGGGAUGGGCCUGCGGCCUGUUGGCUUGUUGGUGGGGUAACGGCAUACCAAGGCAAUGAUGGGUAGCUGGGUUGAGAGACCGACCAGCCAGAUGGGGACUGAGACACGGCCCAGACUCCUACGGGAGGCAGCAGUGGGGAAUCUUGCACAAUGGGCGAAAGCCUGAUGCAGCGACGCCGCGUGCGGGAUGAAGGCCUUCGGGUUGUAAACCGCUUUCAGCAGGGACGAGGCGAAAGUGACGGUACCUGCAGAAGAAGCCCCGGCUAACUACGUG